rnacentral:rRNA from 1 species
CCUACGGGAGGCAGCAGUGAGGAAUAUUGGUCAAUGGCCGCAGGGCUGAACCAGCCAAGUCGCGUGAGGGAUGACGGUCCUAUGGAUUGUAAACCUCUUUUGUCAGGGAGCAAUGGGCGCUACGUGUGGCGUUUUCCGAGUACCCGAAGGAAAAGCAUCGGCCAACCCCGGGCCAGCAGCCGCGGUUAUUCGGAGGAUGCGAGCGGUAUCCGGAUUUAUUGGGUUUAAAGGGUGCGGAGGCGGAAUGUCAAGUCAGCGGUAAAAUUUCGGGGCUCAACCCCGUCGUGCCGUUGAAACUGGCGUUCUUGAGUGGGCGAGAAGUAUGCGGAAUGCGUGGUGUAGCGGUGAAAUGCAUAGAUAUCACGCAGAACUCCGAUUGCGAAGGCAGCAUACCGGCGCUCAACUGACGCUGAAGCACGAAAGCGUGGGUAUCGAACAGGAUUAGAUACCCUGGUAGUC